AGGUAUAACUCAGUGGUAGAGUGUGUGUCUAGUAUGCACAAGAUCCUGGGUUCAAUCCCCAGUAUACCUC
rnacentral:tRNA from 1 species